GCGCCCGUAGCUCAACCGGAUAGAGCACCGGCCUUCUAAGCCGGUGGUUGUGGGUUCGAGUCCCGCCGGGCGCGCCA
rnacentral:tRNA from 16 species